GACAGUUCGGUCCCUAUCUACCGUGGGCGCUGGAAAUUUGAGAGGAUCUGCUCCUAGUACGAGAGGACCAGAGUGGACGAACCUCUGGUGUACCGGUUGUGACGCCAGUCGCAUCGCCGGGUAGCUAUGUUCGGAAGGGAUAACCGCUGAAAGCAUCUAAGCGGGAAGCCUACCUCAAGAUAAGAUUUCCCUAGGACUUUAUGUCCUCUAAAGAGCCGUUCGAGACUAGGACGUUGAUAGGUUGGAUGUGGAAGCAUAGUGAUAUGUGAAGCUGACCAAUACUAAUUGCUCGUGAGGCUUGACUAUACAACACCCAAGCAGUUG
rnacentral:rRNA from 1 species